rnacentral:rRNA from 1 species
GCUAAUACAUGCGCAAUCGCCUCCUUCUCUGGAGGGGCUGUGUUUAUUAGAUACAAAACCAACCCACUUUGUGGAGUCCUGGUGAUUCAUAGUAACCGAACGGAUCGCAGUUGGCUUCGGCCCGCGAUGGAUCUUUCAAGUUUCUGACCUAUCAGCUUUCGACGGUAGGGUAUUGGCCUACCGUGGCAGUGACGGGUAACGGGGAAUUAGGGUUCGAUUCCGGAGAGGGAGCCUGAGAAACGGCUACCACAUCUAAGGAAGGCAGCAGGCGCGCAAAUUACCCAAUGAAAACAGUUUCGAGGUAGUGACGAGAAAUAACAAUACAGGGCAUUUUAUGCUCUGUAAUUGGAAUGAUGGGAAUGUAAAACCCUCUCAGAGUAACAAUUGGAGGGCAAGUCUGGUGCCAGCAGCCGCGGUAAUUCCAGCUCCAAUAGUGUAUAUUAGAGUUGUUGCAGUUAAAAAGCUCGUAGUUGGAUUUCUGUCGUGGUCAUCCGGUACCGCCCGUAUGGGUGUGCACCUGGUUUGACCUCGGCUUUCUUCCGGUAGCCUUCCGCUCUUCAUUGCGUGGUUGGUGUUCCGGAACUUUUACUUUGAGAAAAAUAGAGUGUUUCAAGCAGGCUUGUCGCCCUGAAUACUUCAGCAUGGAAUAAUAAGAUAGGACCUUGGUUCUAUUUUGUUGGUUUCUAGGACCAAGGUAAUGAUUAAUAGGGACAGUUGGGGGCAUUCGUAUUUAACUGUCAGAGGUGAAAUUCUUAGAUUUGUUAAAGACGAACUACUGCGAAAGCAUUUGCCAAGGAUGUUUUCAUUAAUCAAGAACGACAGU